UACGGAGGGUGCAAGCGUUAUCCGGAUUUACUGGGUUUAAAGGGUGUGUAGGCGGGCUAUUAAGUCAGUGGUGAAAUCUCCGGGCUCAACCUGGAAACUGCCAUUGAUACUAUUAGUCUUGAAUUCUGUUGAGGUUGGCGGAAUAUAUCAUGUAGCGGUGAAAUGCAUAGAUAUGAUAUAGAACAUCGAUUGCGAAGGCAGCUAACUAAACAGACAUUGACGCUGAGGCACGAAAGCGUGGGGAUCAAACAGG
rnacentral:rRNA from 1 species